GACGUAGGGCGCGAGCGUUGUCCGGAUUUAUUGGGCGUAAAGAGCUCGUAGGCGGCUUGUUGCGUCGUCCGUGAAAAACCUGUGGCUCAACUACAGGCUUGCGGACGUACGGGGCGGGCUGAGUUGGGUAGGGGAGACUGGAAUUCCUGGGUGUAGCGGUGAAAUGCGCAGAUAUCAGGAGGAACACCGGUGGCGAAAGGGCGG
rnacentral:rRNA from 1 species